rnacentral:pre_miRNA from 1 species
GCAGUAUUCCCUCCGUCCCAAAAUUCUUGUCUUACAUUUGUUUAGAUACGGAUGUAUCUAACACUAAAAUGUAACUAGAUACAUUCGUAUUUAGACAAAUUUAAGACAAGAAUUUUGGGACGGAGGGAGUNACAU